UCUGCUGACAAGAGGAAACCCAGCCACAGAGGCAAGGACGUCCUCGGUCCCAGAGGAGGAAGGGAUUAGCCUGUGUAUCUUACAUGGGAGGCGGGAAUUGAUGAUUCCAAGGUGGAGGUGGGGGGCAAGGGACAGAUGGGAAAGAAAAACUACAGGUGUAUUUAUAGCUGCUUCCAGAGACAGUAGUGAUGACACACUCUUUCAAGCCAUUUCAACUCAUGCUGGUAAUAUAUGUGGUGCUCGCUAGUAUCAGUAAUCCUGACUGCUGCAGCAGUGUCAUCAAAACCACUUAGUAAUAAGAAAAGCAGUUCUGAAGCCUAGUAGCAACCAAGGCUGUGUCUGGCUUGGCAGACGAACCAGAUGAGAAAGCCAUAUUUCUGUGUCAUGAGCCGCCCCAACUAUCACCUACUGCUGACCCCCCCAAGGCUUCUCUUGGCCUCCCGCUCAUGGGGUUUAAUGAGACUGUCUGCAUUUUCAUGUAUGUGCACGCAAAGAAACCUGCUGAGACAAAUAACAAGCACUCAGCUGAACACAGGUGUGAGAAGAAAGCCAAAUAUGGACAAAGAUCAGAAGAAACUAGCACUACCUCGCUACAUAAGACCUGAGGAAGCCAG